ACUACAUAUGAUGAAGCCAUUUACGGAUGUUAAACACAUAAAACAUACCGAGAGCGCAUAAACCCCAUGUGGAAUUUUCCGUUGCCUUCCUUCUGAUCCCCUAC
rnacentral:snoRNA from 1 species